UGGGAAUAUUGGACAAUGGGCGAAAGCCUGAUCCAGCCAUGCCGCGUGUGUGAAGAAGGUCUUCGGAUUGUAAAGCACUUUAAGUUGGGAGGAAGGGCAUUAACCUAAUACGUUAGUGUUUUGACGUUACCAACAGAAUAAGCACCGGCUAACUUCGUGCCAGCAGCCGCGGUAAUACGAAGGUGCAAGCGUUAAUCGGAAUUACUGGGCGUAAAGCGCGCGUAGGUGGUUCGUUAAGUUGGUGUNAAAAGCCCCGGGCUCAACCUGGGAACUGCAUCCAAAAACUGGCGAGCUAGAGUACGGUAGAGGGUGGUGGAAUUUCCUGUGUAGCGGUGAAAUGCGUAGAUAUAGGAAGGAACACCAGUGGCGAAGGCGACCACCUGGACUGAUACUGACACUGAGGUGCGAAAGCGUGGGGAGCAAAACAGGAUUAGAUACCCUGGUAGUCCACGCCGUAAAACGAUGUCAACUAGCCGUUGGAAUCCUUGAGAUUUUAGUGGCGCAGCUAACGCAUUAAAGUUGACCGCCUGGGGAGUACGGCCGCAAGGUUAAAACUUAAAUGAAUUGACGGGGUCAUAGCUGUUUCCUG
rnacentral:rRNA from 1 species